rnacentral:rRNA from 1 species
GGUUAAGUGACUAAGCGUACAUGGUGGAUGCCUUGGCAGUCAGAGGCGAUGAAGGACGUACUAACCUGCGAUAAGCUGUGAGAAGUCGGUAAGAGACGCUAUUACUCACAGAUUUCCGAAUGGGGAAACCCACCCGAGAUAACUCGGGUAUCUGUUACUGAAUACAUAGGUAACAGAGGCGAACCGGGAGAACUGAAACAUCUAAGUACCCCGAGGAAAAGAAAUCAACCGAGAUUCCCUCAGUAGCGGCGAGCGAACGGGGAUUAGCCCUUAAGCAUCUUGGAAGUUAGUGGAACGGUCCUGGAAAGGCCGGCGAUACAGGGUGAUAGCCCCGUACACGAAAACAACCUUGAUGUGAAAUCGAGUAGGGCGGGACACGUGACAUCCUGUCUGAAUAUGGGGGGACCAUCCUCCAAGGCUAAAUACUCCUGACUGACCGAUAGUGAACCAGUACCGUGAGGGAAAGGCGAAAAGAACCCCUGUGAGGGGAGUGAAAUAGAACCUGAAACCGUGUACGUACAAGCAGUGGGAGCCCUUCGGGGUGACUGCGUACCUUUUGUAUAAUGGGUCAGCGACUUACAUUUUGUAGCGAGGUUAACCGUAUAGGGGAGCCGUAGGGAAACCGAGUCUUAACUGGGCGUCUAGUUGCAAGGUGUAGACCCGAAACCGGGUGAUCUAGCCAUGGGCAGGUUGAAGGUUGAGUAACAUCAACUGGAGGACCGAACCCACUAACGUUGCAAAGUUAGGGGAUGACCUGUGGCUGGGGGUGAAAGGCCAAUCAAACUCGGAGAUAGCUGGUUCUCCCCGAAAGCUAUUUAGGUAGCGCCUCGGACGAAUACUACUGGGGGUAGAGCACUGUUUGGGCUAGGGGGUCAUCCCGACUUACCAACCCCAUGCAAACUCCGAAUACCAGUAAGUAAUAUCCGGGAGACACACGGCGGGUGCUAACGUCCGUCGUGAAGAGGGAAACAACCCAGACCGCCGGCUAAGGUCCCAAAGUUCUGGUUAAGUGGGAAACGAUGUGGGAAGGCUCAGACAGCUAGGAUGUUGGCUUAGAAGCAGCCAUCAUUUAAAGAAAGCGUAAUAGCUCACUAGUCGAGUCGGCCUGCGCGGAAGAUGUAACGGGGCUCAAACCAGGCACCGAAGCCGCGGAUUCACACUUAUGUGUGAGUGGUAGGGGAGCGUUCUGUAAGUCUGCGAAGGUGUAUCGAGAGGUAUGCUGGAGAUAUCAGAAGUGCGAAUGCUGACGUAAGUAACGAUAAAGGGGGUGAAAAGCCUCCUCGCCGGAAGACCAAGGGUUCCUGUCCAACGUUAAUCGGGGCAGGGUGAGUCGACCCCUAAGGCGAGGCCGAAAGGCGUAGUCGAUGGGAAGCAGGUUAAUAUUCCUGCACGACUUGUAAUUGCGAUGGGGGGACGGAGAAGGCUAGGUGGGCCAGGCGACGGUUGUCCUGGUGAAAGUGCGUAGGUGGUGUUUCUAGGCAAAUCCGGAGACACAACACUGAGACACGAGACGAACACACUACGGUGUGGAAGCCAUUGAUGCCCUGCUUCCAGGAAAAGCCUCUAAGCUUCAGAUUACAAGUCAUCGUACCCCAAACCGACACAGGUGGUCGGGUAGAGAAUACCAAGGCGCUUGAGAGAACUCGGGUGAAGGAACUAGGCAAAAUAGAACCGUAACUUCGGGAGAAGGUUCGCUCUUGAUGGUGAAGUCCCUUGCGGAUGGAGCUGUCGGGAGUCGCAGUGACCAGAUGGCUGGGACUGUUUAUCAAAAACACAGCACUCUGCAAACACGAAAGUGGACGUAUAGGGUGUGACACCUGCCCGGUGCCGGAAGGUUAAUUGAUGGGGUUAGCGCAAGCGAAGCUCUUGAUCGAAGCCCCGGUAAACGGCGGCCGUAACUAUAACGGUCCUAAGGUAGCGAAAUUCCUUGUCGGGUAAGUUCCGACCUGCACGAAUGGUGUAACCAUGGCCAUGCUGUCUCCACCCGAGACUCAGUGAAAUCGAAUUCGCCGUGAAGAUGCGGUGUACCCGCGGCUAGACGGAAAGACCCCGUGAACCUUUACUACAGCUUGGCACUGAACAUUGAACCUACAUGUGUAGGAUAGGUGGGAGGCUUUGAAGGCGUGACGCCAGUUGCGCUGGAGCCGUCCUUGAAAUACCACCCUUGUAUGUUUGAUGUUCUAACGCAGGGCCCUGAAUCGGGCUCGCGGACAGUGCCUGGUGGGUAGUUUGACUGGGGCGGUCUCCUCCCAAAGAGUAACGGAGGAGCACGAAGGUUGGCUAAUCCUGGUCGGACAUCAGGAGGUUAGUGCAAUGGCAUAAGCCAGCUUAACUGCGAGACGGACAGGUCGAGCAGGUACGAAAGUAGGUCAUAGUGAUCCGGUGGUUCUGAAUGGAAGGGCCAUCGCUCAACGGAUAAAAGGUACUCCGGGGAUAACAGGCUGAUACCGCCCAAGAGUUCAUAUCGACGGCGGUGUUUGGCACCUCGAUGUCGGCUCAUCACAUCCUGGGGCUGAAGUCGGUCCCAAGGGUAUGGCUGUUCGCCAUUUAAAGUGGUACGCGAGCUGGGUUCAGAACGUCGUGAGACAGUUCGGUCCCUAUCUGCCGUGGGCGUUGGAUGAUUGAAGGGAGUUGCUCCUAGUACGAGAGGACCGGAGUGAACGAACCUCUGGUGUUCGGGUUGUCACGCCAGUGGCACUGCCCGGUAGCUAAGUUCGGAAUCGAUAACCGCUGAAAGCAUCUAAGCGGGAAGCGAGCCCUGAGAUGAGUCAUCCCUGACCCCUUGAGGGUCCUAAAGGGCCGUUGGAGACCACAACGUUGAUAGG